rnacentral:sRNA from 1 species
AUGGCUGUCGUCAGCUCGUGUCGUGAGAUGUUGGGUUAAGUCCCGUAACGAGCGCAACCCUUAUCCUUAGUUGCCAGCGAGUAAUGUCGGGAACUCUAAGGAGACUGCCGGUGACAAACCGGAGGAAGGCGGGGACGACGUCAAGUCAUCAUGGCCCUUAUGGGUAGGGCUACACACGUGCUACAAUGGCCGGUACAGAUGGAAGCGAAGUGGCAACAUGGAGCAAAACCUAAAAAGCCGGUCGUAGUCCGGAUUGGAGUCUGCAACUCGACUCCAUGAAGUCGGAAUCGCUAGUAAUCGCGAAUCAGCAUGUCGCGGUGAAUACGUUCCCGGGCCUUGUACACACCGCCCGUCACACCAUGGGAGUGGGCUGCACCAGAAGCAGAUAGUCUAACCCGUAAGGGGGGGCGUUUGCCACGGUGUGGUUCAUGACUGGGGUGAAGUCGUAACAAGGUAGCCGUACCGGAAGGUGCGGCUGGAUCACCUCCUUUCUAAGGAGCUCACUGCCUGGAAUUAUCACAAUUCCAGGAACUCCUACGUCGAUCACUGGUCAGCUGGCAUUCGGCCAAUUCCGACCCCGCUCAGCCUCGUGCUGAACGGCACCACCGGGACCCGGAUUGCCGGCGUGCGCGUCACUGUUCCGUUUUGAGGGAGCGGUCGCUCGGGCUUCACGCCCGGAGGCUGCUACCUCGAGGUCAGAUCCGCCCCCGCCGCCCCGCAUUGCGGGGCUGGCGCGCGGACGACUUCAACGCCCCUUGAGAACCGCAGAGCGAGCACGAGCAUCUAGCAAACAGUGCAAGACGAAAAUCCCAAGCUAUAAAGAGCCAACGGUGGAUGCCUUGGCGCCAGAUGCCGAUGAAGGACGUGGGUGGCUGCGAAAAGCCACGGUGAGCUGCCGACCAAGCAUUGACCCGUGGAUCUCCGAAUGGGGAAACCCGG